UGGGCGAGGAGUGAAGCAGUCGGAAGGAGACUUGACGUUUUGAUUCAGUAUACGAAGUUAGUGGGCGAGGAGUGAAGUAGUCGGAAGGAGACUUGACGUUUUGAUUCAGUAUACGGAGGUAGUGGGCGAGGAGUUAAGUGGUCGAAAGGAGACUUUGCGUUUUGUUAGUAUAUGGAGGUAGUGGUCAAGGAGCGAAGAGGUCGGAAAGAGACUUGGCGUUUUGAUUCAAUAUACAGAAGUAGUGGGGGAGGAAUCAAGUGGUCAGCAAGGAACUU